AGAGGAGAUUCUAUAUGUCACCCAGACUAGAGUGCUGUGGCAUGAUCAUAGCCUUGAACUCCUGGAGUCAAGUGACCCUCCCGUCUCAGUAUAGGCAUGUGCCACAGGUCCUAGCUUAUACAUAUUUUUAAAGCAGGAAGUUGAUCAGUACCAAAAUGUUUUAACAAUAUGCAAUAUAUUUGAUUUUCUAAUUAGAACUUUCUGAUUCUUUUACUUUGCUGAAGUAUAUUUUACCUACAAUACAUGCAUUUUAGUUGUAUAAUUCAGCAAGUUUUGGAAAUGUGUACCUGUGUAACCACCAUGCCAAUCAAGAUUUAGAACAUUUCUAUCACUCUAGAUAGUUUUCUUAUGCCCCUUUGAAGUUAAUACCCCUCCAUUCUUUCUUUCUGGCAACCACUAAUCUGCUUUCUGUCACUAUAGAUUUGUUUGAUCUGUUCUAGAAGUUCAUAUAAAUAGAAGCAUGCCGUUUGUUAAAGUUUGUGUCUGGCUUUUGAUCAACAUGUUUUUGAGAUUGAUCUGUGUUGCAUCUAACAGCAGUUCAUUCCCUCUUAAUGCUGAGUAAUAUACUAUGAUAUUAAUAUACCACAAUUUAUCCAUUCUUCAGUUAAAAAAUAUUUGGAUAAAAUUUUGAGGGCCGGGCACAGUGGCUCACGCCUGUAAUCCCAGCACUUUGGGAGGCCGAGGCGGGCAGAUCACUUGAGGUGAGGAGUUUGAGACCAGCCUGGCUAACAUAGUGAAACCCCGUCUCUACUAAAAAUACAAAAGUUAGCCGGGUGUGGUGGCAUGCACCUGUAAUCCCAGCUACUUGGGAGGCUGAGGCCGGAGAAUCACUUGAACCCGGGAGGUGGAGGUUGCAGUGAACCGGGAUUGCGCCACUGCACUCCUGCCUGGGCAACAGAGUAAGACUCUCAAAAAAAAAGAAAAAAUUUUUUUUGAGCUAGUAUGACUGAAGCUGCUCUAAACAUUCAUAAAGUCUUUUUGUAGACCUAUGUUUUCAUUUCUCUUGGAUAAACACCUAGGAGUAGAAUUGCCGGAUCAAGUGAGGUAAAUGUAUGUUUUAAUUGUAUAAAAAACUGCUAAACUGUUUUUAGUUUACUAAAUUGAUAUAAAAGGCGGGGUACAGUGGCUCACACCUGUAAUCCCAGCAUUUUCAGAGGCCAAGGAGGACGGAUCACUUUUUUUUUUUCCGGGGUGUGGGGGGAAGGUUUUAAAUGUAUUUUUAUUUUAUUUUUUUAUUUUUUUAUUAUACUUUAAGUUCUAGGGUACAUGUGCACAACAUGCAGGUUUGUUACGUAUGUAUACAUGUGCCAUGUUGGUGUGCUGCACCCGUUAACUCGUCAUUUACAUUAGGUAUAUCUCCUAAUGCUAUCCCUCCCCUCUCCCCCCACCCCACAACAGGCCCCAGUGUGUGAUGUUCCCCACCCUGUGUCCUGGUGUUCUCAUUGUUCAGUUCCCACUUAUGAGUGAGAACAUGCAGUGUUUGGUUUUCUGUCCUUGUGAUAGUUUUCUCAGAAUGAUGGUUUCCAGCUUCAUCCAUGUCCCUACAAAAGACAUGAACUCAUCCUUUUUUUGGCUGCAUAGUAUUCCAUGGUGUAUAUGUGCCACAUUUUCUUAAUCCAGUCUAUCAUUGAUUUGGGUUGGUUCCAAGUCUUUGCUAUCGUAAAUAGUGCUGCAGUCAAUGUACGUGUGCAUGUGUCUUUAUAGCAGCAUGAUUUAUAAUCCUUUGGGUAUAUACCCAGUAAUGGGAUGGCUGGGUCAAAUGGUAUUUCUAGUUCUAGAUCCUUGAGGAAUCACCACACUGUCUUCCACAAUGGUUGAACUAGUUUACGGUCCCACCAACAGUGUAAAAGUGUUCCUAUUUCUCCACAUCCUCUCCAGCACCUGUUGUUUCCGACUUUUUAAUGAUCGCCAUUCUAACUGGUGUGAGAUGGUAUCUCAUUGUGGUUUUGAUUUGCAUUUCUCUGAUGGCCAGUGAUGAUGAGCAUUUUUUCAUGUGUCUGUUGGCUGCAUGAAUGUCUUCUUUUGAGAAGUGUCUGUUCAUAUCCUUUGCCCACUUUUUGAUGGGAUUGUUUGAUUUUUUCUUGGAAAUUUGUUUAAGUUCUUUGUAGAUUCUGGAUAUUAGCCCUUUGUCAGAUGGGUAGAUGGUAAAAAUUUUCUCCCAUUCUGUAGGUUGCCUAUUCACUCUGAUGGUAGUUUCUUUUGCUGUGCAGAAGCUCUUUAAUUAGAUCCCAUUUGUCAAUUUUGAGUUUUGUUGCCAUUGCUUUUGGUGUUUUAGUCAUGAAGUCCUUGCCCAUGCCUAUGUCCUGAAUGGUAUUGCCUAGGUUUUCUUCUAGGGUUUUUCUGGUUUUAGGUCUAACAUUUAAGUCUUUAAUCCAUCUUGAAUUAACUUUUGUAUAAGGUGUAAGGAAGGGAUCCAGUUUCAGCUUUCUACAUAUGGCUAGCCAGUUUUCCCAGCACCAUUUAUUAAAUAGGGCAUCCUUUCCCCAUUUCUUCUUUUUGUCAGGUUUGUCAAAGAUCAGAUGGUUGUAGAUGUGUGGUAUUAUUUCUGAGGGCUCUGUUCUGUUCCAUUGGUCUGUAUCUCUGUUUUGGUACCAGUAGCAUGCUGUUUUGGUUACUGUAGCCUUGUAGUAUAGUUUGAAGUUGGAUAGGGUGAUGCCUUCAGCUUUAUUCUUUUGGCUUAGGGUUGUCUUGGCAAUGCAGGCUCUUUUUUGGUUCCAUAUGAACUUUAAAGUAGUUUUUUCCAAUUCUGUGAAGAAAGUCAUUGGUAGCUUGAUGGGGAUGGCAUUGAAUCUAUAAAUUACCUUGGGCAGUAUGGCCAUUUUCACAAUAUUGAUUCUUCCCAUCCAUGAGCAUGGAAUGUUCUUCCAUUUGUUUGGUCCUCUUUUACUUGGUUGAGCAGUGGUUUGUAGUUCUCCUUGAAGAGGUCCUUCACAUCCCUUGUAAGUUGGAUUCCUAGGUAUUUUAUUCUCUUUGUAGCAAUUGUGAAUGGGAGUUCACUCAUGAUUUGGCUCUCUCUUUGUCUGUUAUUGAUGUAUAGGAAUGCUUGUGAUUUCUGCACAUUGAUUUUGUAUCCUGAGACUUUGCUGAAGUUGCUUAUCAGCUUAAGGAGAUUUUGGGCUGAGACGAUGGAGUUUUCUACAUGUACAAUCAUGUCAUCUGCAAACAGGGAUAAUUCGACUUCCUCUUUUCCUAAUUGAAUACCCUUUAUUUCUUUCUCCUGCCUGAUUGCCCUGGCCAGAACUUCCAACACUGUGUUGAAUAGGAGUGGUGAGAGAGGGCAUCCCUGUCUUGCGCCAGUUUUCAAAGGGAAUGCUUCCAGUUUUUGUCCAUUCAGUAUGAUAUUGGCUGUGGGUUUGUCAUAAAUAGCUCUUAUUAUUUUGAGAUACGGCGGACGCAUCACUUGAGGCCAGGAGUUCGAGACCAGCCUGGGCAACAUAGUGAAAUCCUGUCUCUACUAAAAAUACAAAAAACAUUAGCCAGGCAUGGUGGUGCACGCCUGUGGUACUGGCUACUGAAGAGGCCGAGUUCGUGCUACUGCACUCCAGCCUGGGCAACACAGCAAGACUUGGUCUCAAAAAUAAAUAAAUAAAUAAAUAAAUAAAUAAAUAAAUAAAUAAAUAGAUAUAGAAACUAAGAAGAUGAUGGUGUUACUCACUGGAUGCAAAAUGUAACCAACCAGUUAUGUAAUUGUACUCUGAAUCUGUUCUUCUAGUAUUGUGAAAGAAUGGUAUUGGCAUAAAGAUGUGAUUUUUUUCUUGUAUGUAUUGUUAAAGUCACAGAAAAUCAUCUAUAUUGUGGUAAGAGAGAAUAUAUGCCAGACAAAUGCUCUGCUGUCUGUCAGAAAGAG
rnacentral:lncRNA from 1 species